rnacentral:rRNA from 1 species
ACGGAAGGCAGCAGUGAGGAAUAUUGGUCAAUGGGCGGAAGCCUGAACCAGCCAAGUCGCGUGCGGGAAGACGGCCCUAUGGGUUGUAAACCUCUUUUUUGCGGGAAUAAAGUGCUUCAUGCGUGAGGCUUUGUAUGUACCGCAAGAAUAAGGAUCGGCUAACUCCGUGCCAGCAGCCGCGGUAAUACGGAGGAUCCGAGUGUUAUCCGGAUUUAUUGGGUUUAAAGGGUGCGUAGGCGGUAGAUCAAGUCAGUGGUGAAAUGGUGCGGCUCAACCGUAGCAUUGCCGUUGAAACUGGUAUACUUGAGUGCGGAUGAGGUAGACGGAAUGUGUUGUGUAGCGGUGAAAUGCAUAGAUAUGACACAGAACACCGAUUGCGAAGGCAGUUUACUAAUCCGUAACUGACGCUCAGGCACGAAAGCGUGGGGAUCGAACAGGAUUAGAUACCCUGGUA